rnacentral:misc_RNA from 1 species
GAUGAAGAACGUAGUGAAAUGCGAUAAGUAAUGUGAAUUGCAGAAUUCAGUGAAUCAUCGAAUCUUUGAACGCACAUUGCGCCCGCCAGUAUUCUGGCGGGCAUGCCUGUUCGAGCGUCAUUUCAACCAUCAAGCCCCAGGCUUGUGUUGGGGACCUGCGGCUGCCGCAGGCCCUGAAAACCAGUGGCGGGCUCGCUAUCACACCGAGUGCAGUAGUUUACUCUUCGCUCAGGACGUGUAGCGGGUUCCGGCCGUGAAACCCCCCAAUUUUCAAGGUUGACCUCGGAUCAGGUAGGAAUACCCGCUGAACUUAAGCAUAUCAAUAAGCGGAGGA